AUUGAACGCUGGCGGCAGGCCUAACACAUGCAAGUCGAACGAGUGGCGGACGGGUGAGUAAUGUCUGGGAAACUGCCUGAUGGAGGGGGAUCACUACUGGAAACGGUAGCUAAUACCGCAUACCAUCGGAUGUGCCCCGAUGGGAUUAGCUUGUUGGUGGGGUAACGGCUCACCUAGGCGACGAUCCCUCGCUGGUCUGAGAGGAUGACCAGCAACACUGGAACUGAGACACGGUCCAGACUCCUACGGUAGGCAGCAGUGGGGAAUAGGGAACAAUGGGCGCAAGCCUGAUGCAGCCAGGCCGCGUGUAUGAAGAAGGCCUUCGGGUUGUAAAGUACUUGCAGCGGGGAGGCGUUACCCGCAGAAGAAGCACCGGCUAACUCCGUGCCAGCAGCCGCGGUAAUAC
rnacentral:rRNA from 1 species